rnacentral:misc_RNA from 1 species
CAUAUUGCAGUGGAUGGAUCUACAUCAUGCGCUCCAGGUGAAUUUUAUGAUGUGGAAAAUCAUGAGACUGAGGUUGAUGGUAUUGAUGGAGUUGAUUUUGGCACAUUUGAGGCAGACUGUGAUGCUCAAUAUGAUGAAUUUGCGUCUCCUUUUGCUAGUGGCAGCAAGUCAACUCAGUCGAAGAGAGGCGUCUCAACUCAGUCAAAGAAAAGAGCUAGUCCUACUGUUGUUAAUAGCCCACUGAAGCGCUCAAAGAAUCCCAUGGUUAAGGUCAUGAAUAAGAUUCAUAAUACUUUGGAGAUCAAUUGCAAUAUUUCAAACAAAGUAAUGCUUGGUGAGUAUAGGUAUGAAUCAAUCAAGCAAUGCAUGGAAUGGGCUAUUGAGUGUGGA